rnacentral:rRNA from 1 species
CAACUUUUAACAACGGAUCUCUUGGCUCUCGCAUCGAUGAAGAACGCAGCGAAAUGCGAUAAGUAAUGUGAAUUGCAGAAUUCAGUGAAUCAUCGAAUCUUUGAACGCACAUUGCGCUCUUUGGUAUUCCGAAGAGCAUGCCUGUUUGAGUGUCAU